CCCAAGAAGUGAUGCAUUCUUUUUGGCGGGACACUUGGCAGUUGGCACUUAAGUGAAUCCAAGCAUAACUCUAAAGCGAUCUGACGAAAAGCUACAAUCAGGAUGUUUGUGUUGUUUAGUUUAAUGAUCAUGCUGAUACUUGCCGUAGGUUCCUGUAAGGAAUAUAUGGAAGUGGAAGCAAUUAAGGGUGGAAAUGCUAGCCUACCAUUCACAACUGUUGGAUUGACGAUUUUCUGCGAAAUAGAUUGUCAAAAAAGGACUACGAUCACCAGGAUCGGUCGAUACUGUGGCACUGAUGAGAACUGCACCACCAACUUGAAUACACCUUUUUCAAUAGAGACUGGCAACCUAAUUGUAUGCAAUGUCACCUCGAACAGAUGCUUCAGUGCAGAAUUGAUACAGGGUACAGGAAACAUCAAGACAUUUUAUAAUGUUACUAUCAACAAAUUACUACACUCUACCAUCAGCGCAGAAAUAUCCACCACAACAUUCACUACAGAAACACCCGACUAUACUUCAACCGAUCCCUACAGCAACACUGCAUCAUUUAGUGUAUCCAGAUUUGUUGUUUUUGUUGUUGUUGUUGCUGUUGUUUUUGUUGUUGUUGUUGUUUUUGGUGUUGUGAUCUUGGUGGCCAUCCGUUUGCUCCCUGACCAGUACAAAUGUAAAGUAAGUAUUAUCACAAUAAUUUAA
ensembl:lncRNA